CUUAGCAGAGAUGCUUUGGUGCCUUCGGGAACUCUGAGACAGAUGCUGCAUGGCUGUCGUCAGCUCGUGUUGUGAAAUGUUGGGUUAAGUCCCGCAACGAGCGCAACCCUUAUCCUUUGUUGCCAGCGGUUAGGCCGGGAACUCAAAGGAGACUGCCAGUGAUAAACUGGAGGAAGGUGGGGAUGACGUCAAGUCAUCAUGGCCCUUACGAGUAGGGCUACACACGUGCUACAAUGGCGCAUACAAAGAGAAGCGACCUCGCGAGAGCAAGCGGACCUCAUAAAGUGCGUCGUAGUCCGGAUUGGAGUCUGCAACUCGACUCCAUGAAGUCGGAAUCGCUAGUAAUCGUGGAUCAGAAUGCCACGGUGAAUACGUUCCCGGGCCUUGUACACACCGCCCGUCACACCAUGGGAGUGGGUUGCAAAAGAAGUAGGUAGCUUAACCUUCGGGAGGGCGCUUACCACUUUGUGAUUCAUGACUGGGGUGAAGUCGUAACAAGGUAGGCGUAGUGCU
rnacentral:rRNA from 1 species